rnacentral:rRNA from 1 species
AGCCAUGCGAGUCGAGAGAAUAAGAUUCUCGGCAUACCGCUCAGUAACACGUGGAUAACUGCCCUGUGCUGGGGGAUAACCUCGCGAAAGUGAGAACAAUACCCCAUGGGUCACUAUGCCUGGAACGGUUAGUGGCUGAAAGCUCCGGCGGCACAGGAUGGGUCUGCGGCGUAUCAGGUCGUAGGGGGUGUAACGUACCUCCUAGCCUUCGACGCGUACGGGUUGUGAGAGCAAUUGCCCGGAGAUGGAUUCUGAGACACGAAUCCAGGCCCUACGGGGCGCAGCAGGCGCGAAAACUUGACAAUGCGAGAAAUCGUGAUCAGGGGACUCCAGUUGGCUGGAUCAAAAGUCCAGUCUGAACCGACUUUAAAUCGGUCGGGUAAUAGGGGCGGGAAAGACCGGUGCCAGCCGCCGCGGUAAUACCGGCGCCCCAAGUGGUCGUCACUAUUAUUGGGCCUAAAACGUCCGUAGCCGGUUUGGUAAAUCCGUGGGUAAAUCAGACAGCCCAACUGUCUGAAUUCUGCGGGGACUGCCAGACUUGAGACCGGGAGAGGUGCGGGGUACCUGCGGGGUACCGGUAAAAUGGGAUCAUCCCGUAGAGACCACCUGUUGCGAAGGCGCCGCACUAGAACGGAUCUGACGGUCAGGGACGAAGCCUAGGGGCACGAACCGGAUUAGAUACCCGGGUAGUCCUAGGUGUAAACGCUGUGGACUUGGUGUCGGGGACCUUCUGAGGGUUUCCGGUGCCGGAGUGAAGAUGUUAAGUCCACUGCCUGGGGAGUACGUC